AACGGGAGGCUGCAGUAGGGAAUCUUCCACAAUGGGCGCAAGCCUGAUGGAGCAACGCCGCGUGUGUGAUGAAGGCUUUCGGGUCGUAAAGCACUGUUGUAUGGGAAGAACGGGUUUAAGAGGAAAUGCUUAAACAGUGACGGUACCAUACCAGAAAGGGACGGCUAAAUACGUGCCAGCAGCCGCGGUAAUACGUAUGUCCCGAGCGUUAUCCGGAUUUAUUGGGCGUAAAGCGAGCGCAGACGGUUGCUUAAGUCUGAAGUGAAAGCCCACAGCUCAACUGUGGAAUGGCUUUGGAAACUGGGCAACUUGAGUGCAGUAGAGGUAAGUGGAACUCCAUGUGUAGCGGUGGAAUGCGUAGAUAUAUGGAAGAACACCAGUGGGCGAAGGCGGCUUACUGGACUGCAACUGACGUUGAGGCUCGAAAGUGUGGGUAGCAAACAGGAUUAGAUACCCUGGUAGUCCACACCGUAAACGAUGGAUACUAGUUGUUAGAGGGUUUCCGCCCUUUAGUGACGAAGCAAACGCAUUAAGUAUCCCGCCUGGGGAGUACGACCGCAAGGUUGAAACUCAAAGGAAUUGACGGGGACCCSCACAAGCGGUGGAGCAUGUGGUUUAAUUCGAAGCAACGCGAAGAACCUUACCAGGUCUUGACAUCCUUUGAAGGUACUAGAGAUAGUGCUGUCUUCUUCGGAAGCAAAGUGACAGGUGGUGCAUGGCCGUCGUCAGCUCGUGUCGUGAGAUGUUGGGUUAAGUCCCGCAACGAGCGCAACCCUUAUGUUUAGUUGCCAGCAUUCAGUUGGGCACUCUAGACAGACUGCCGGUGACAAACCGGAGGAAGGCGGGGACGACGUCAGGUCAUCAUGCCCCUUAUGACCUGGGCUACACACGUGCUACAAUGGCGUAUACAACGAGCAGCAAACCUGUGAAGGUAAGCGAAUCUCUUAAAGUACGUCUCAGUUCGGAUUGUAGUCUGCAACUCGACUACAUGAAGUCGGAAUCGCUAGUAAUCGCGGAUCAGCAUGCCGCGGUGAAUACGUUCCCGGGUCUUGUACAGCACCGCCCGUCACACCAUGGGAGUUGGUAC
rnacentral:rRNA from 1 species